CGCACAUUGCGCCCUUUGGUAUUCCGAAGGGCAUGCCUGUUCGAGCGUCAUUAUCACCCCUCAAGCCCUCGGCUUGGUGUUGGACGGUUUGGUGGAGGCCCCUCGCGGGCAUCUGCCCCUCCCAAAGACAAUGACGGCGGCCUCGUUGGACCCCCGGUACACUGAGUUCUUCACGGGACACGUACUGGGCACAUGGGUUCACGGGGCACGGUCUGCCUCCCCUCAGGGAGAAUUUUUUUUUAAGGUUGACCUCGGAUCAGGUAGGGAUACCCGCUGAACUUAA
rnacentral:misc_RNA from 1 species